rnacentral:rRNA from 1 species
GAUGAACGCUGGCGGCGUGCCUAAUACAUGCAAGUCGAGCGAAUGGAUUAAGAGCUUGCUCUUAUGAAGUUAGCGGCGGACGGGUGAGUAACACGUGGGUAACCUGCCCAUAAGACUGGGAUAACUCCGGGAAACCGGGGCUAAUACCGGAUAACAUUUUGAACCGCAUGGUUCGAAAUUGAAAGGCGGCUUCGGCCGUCACUUAUGGAUGGACCCGCGUCGCAUUAGCUAGUUGGUGAGGUAACGGCUCACCAAGGCAACGAUGCGUAGCCGACCUGAGAGGGGGAGCGGCCACACUGGGACUGGGACACGGCCCAGACUCCUACGGGAGGCAGCAGUAGGGAAUCUUCCGCAAUGGACGAAAGUCUGACGGAGCAACGCCGCGUGAGUGAUGAAGGCUUUCGGGUCGUAAAACUCUGUUGUUAGGGAAGAACAAGUGCUAGUUGAAUAAGCUGGCACCUUGACGGUACCUAACCAGAAAGCCACGGCUAACUACGUGCCAGCCGCCGCCGUAA